UACGUAGGGACCAAGCGUUGUUCGGAUUCAUUGGGCGUAAAGGGUGCGUAGGCGGCGCGGUAAGUCGGGUGUGAAAUCUUGGAGCUUAACUCCGAAACUGCAUUCGAUACUGCCGUGCUUGAGGACUGGAGAGGAGACUGGAAUUUACGGUGUAGCGGUGAAAUGCGCAGAUAUCAGGAGGAACACCGAUGGCGAAGGCAGGUCUCUGGGCAUUAACUGACGCUGAGGAGCGAAAGCAUGGGGAGCGAACAGG
rnacentral:rRNA from 1 species